GAUGAACGCUGGCGGCGUGCCUAAUACAUGCAAGUCGAGCGAACAGACUAGGAGCUUGCUCCUCUGACGUUAUCGUCGGACGGGUGAGUAACACGUGGAUAACCUACCUAUAAGACUGGGAUAACUUCGGGAAACCGGAGCUAAUACCGGAUAAUAUAUUGAACCGCAUGGUUCAAUAGUGAAAGACGGUUUUGCUGUCACUUAUAGAUGGAUCCGCGCCGCAUUAGCUAGUUGGUAAGGUAAAGGAUUACCAAGGCAACGAUGCGUAGCCGACCUGAGAGGGUGAUCGGCCACACUGGAACUGAGACACGGUCCAGACUCCUACGGGAGGCAGCAGUAGGGAAUCUUCCGCAAUGGGCGAAAGCCUGACGGAGCAACGCCGCGUGAGUGAUGAAGGUCUUCGGAUCGUAAAACUCUGUUAUUAGGGAAGAACAAAUGUGUAAGUAACUAUGCACGUCUUGACGGUACCUAAUCAGAAAGCCACGGCUAACUACGUG
rnacentral:rRNA from 1 species